ACGGGAGGCAGCAGUAGGGAAUAUUGGGCAAUGGAGGCAACUCUGACCCAGCCAUGCCGCGUGAAGGAAGACGGUCCUAUGGAUUGUAAACUUCUUUUGCCGCAGAGUAACCGCGGGGACGCGUCCCCGCCUGAGAGUAUGCGGCGAAUAAGUAUCGGCUAACUCCGUGCCAGCAGCCGCGGUAAUACGGAGGAUACGAGCGUUAUCCGGAUUUAUUGGGUUUAAAGGGUGCGCAGGCGGAUCGGUAAGUCAUGGGUGAAAAGUUGGGGCUCAACUCCAAUCGUGCCUAUGAUACUGCCGGACUAGAGUGCAAGCGACGUAACUGGAAUGUGGUGUGUAGCGGUGAAAUGCUUAGAUAUGCCACAGAACGCCGAUCGUGAAGACAGGUUACGAAUUUGCAACUGACGCUCAUGCACGAAAGCGUGGGGAUCAAACAGGAUUAGAUACCCUGGUA
rnacentral:rRNA from 1 species